GCCUCAAGCGAAGAUUACACUCCACCUGGCCCAACCUGCGCUGGCCUUGCAACAGACUGUCCCUCCCCUUGCGCCUGCACAUCCCACUCAGUCCAGCGCCGGCCCUGGCCUCGCCCUCACGGUGGGUGCCGGUAUUGUGCACGGAGUCGCCAUUUUGCCGAUAGAGAAGCCCUCUGGAGACCUGAACGCUCUUUCUUCAGUGGCCUAGCCUGCGGCGGGGCAGGGGCUGGGGUCUGGGCCAGGGGUCGGCACAGCCAGGCCUGGCCUGCAGUCCGGAGUCCCUGACCCCCGCCAGGCACUGCUGGGAGCCCGGUCCUGGAGUGGGACCUGCGGGAGGCCGCUCAGGUCUCACAUGGCCUCUGCUGUCACUGAACCUGGCUGUGCUGAGCGGGGGACAUUUACCGCCCAAACGACGAUUUCAUUCCACUCUGAGCUCCUCCCUGCAGAGACUGAGAGAGGACCAAGAUAUUAUAGUAAAUAGCAGUUAUUAUUCUACCUGCACAUGCUUUGGCUCAAGUCCCUUCCAUUGAUAAGGGGUUUCUGCUUCUUUUAAUAUUGGUGUCACUUGGGUGUUUAGGUUUUCUGAGGAGACUGAAUGCAGCAAGGGGCUUUGACAACAAGGCAAAGUGUGAUCAGUAGGGUUUAAAAAUUUAAAACCACAAAUAAAAAUAAUUCACCCACGUAAUUGAACCUUGCUACAGAAUACACAUCUUGCCCGUAUUCGGCUAUCUCUAACCAUUACUACCCAGUUUUGCUCAUAUCAUUGAUAUAUUUGCAUAGUGUUGAAUAUUUAUAUUAUUUGCAUAGGUAGAGGUUUACUUAGUUAUCCUGUUACUGACCAUGUACAAAAGUCUAGUUCCUCUUAGAAAAGUUGCAUUGAGCAUAUAUCGUUUUUUCAUGGGAUAAAUUCCAGAAUUUGGAAAUACUAAUUGAGAGUUCUCUGUUCUUUCCCUGACACUUGACACGAACUGGUGCCUAAAGAAGCCAUGUUUACAUCUUUCAAAAUCUAGGUAUUUGUCCAAUUAUCGUGGAAAAUUUGGAGUUCAGCAAGAUGUUGAGUCAUUUUCUGUGCAGACUGAGAGACAGGCCACACAACCUACUGUUGGAUUUUGCUUUUAAGUCAUGUACCAUGUUCGUCUUUUUAUUUUGAUUGACUCUAUUCUGUUUUGUUUCAUUUGGCUUCAUUCUCUUUAAAAUAAAAUUAAAAAAUAUUUUCUUGCUGA